UGUUUCAGCAAGAUUUUAUCUCUUG
rnacentral:piRNA from 1 species